rnacentral:lncRNA from 1 species
CAUCAUAUUAAUCUUCCUUAUUACUUCUGGAGAGCCAGCCUUUAUUGGAAGAUAAAAUUUUAAGAAAAACAAAAGGAGGAAUAAGAAAUUCAGUAAAACUAAUGAAAACAUUGUUGAAAACUGAGGUUAUUUACAGUAUUUUAUAUUCAUGGACCACAUGUACCUACAAAAGAACCAGGCAUCAGACCUCUAAUAGGGCAGAUCUCAAAUACUUCAUCCCCUUUCAAGAUAUAAAGCAUCAUCAUCUUCAUCAUGAAUAUUCAGAUCUCUAUGAUGCCAGGAUUUAUGCUCAGGUGUCUGUAUUUAUACAGAAGUGGCAUGAAACAGUUGACUUUCAGGAAAUGGCCCAAGCAUUGACGCUUAUCAAAUUCAGGAAAGAGGGGAGUUUACAAAACAAAACUGACUCCGUCAAAAAUGUCCUUGGCUCAUGAGGAAAAAAAUGAUACCCAGUUGGUCAAAAAGUCACAUUUUUGUGUGGUUGUAAUUCUUAUGAAAAAAGCAGCAAUAAUCCUUUAAAAUAUGACUUUCAAAUAUCCUUUUGAGAAUAUUGAAAUCAAUUAAACAAUAAAUAUAUUCUCAUUUAUAAAAGAAAUCA